UCAAGCUGUUAUUUUGUGCCUUAAUCUGGUC
rnacentral:piRNA from 1 species